GGAGGCACAAACACAGGGAGCGCCCUGGAGUUUAUCAGGACCAACUAUUUGACUGAGGAGUCUGGCAGUCGGGCCAAGGACAGAGUUCCUCAGAUAGUUAUCCUGGUGACUGACGGGGAGUCAAAUGAUGAGGUCCAGGAGGUGGCUGACCGGUUGAAAGAAGAUGGAGUUGUUGUGUUAUGUGGUAGGGGUCAAUGUCCAGGAUGUCCAAGAGUUGCAAAAAAUAACCAGUGAGCCAUUUGAGAAGUUUCUCUUCAACACUGAAAACUUCAAUAUCCUGCAGGAUUUUUCAGGAAGUAUUCUUCAGACUCUGUGCUCAGCAGUGGAGGGUAAGAUAAAAGAAUUCAUCAAAGCCUAUGCAGACAUGGUCUUUCUUGCUGACACAUCACAAGACACAUCACGGGCCAGUUUCCAGAGGAUGCAGAAUUUCCUCUCCAGAGUGGUUGGCAUGCUGGAGGUUGGCAGGGACAAGUACCAAAUUGGGCUGGCUCAGUAUGGUGACCAAGGUCACACUGAGUUUUUGCUCAAUACCUACAAGACCCAGAAUGAGAUGAUAGCUCACAUUCAUGAGCAUUUUGUGCCCCUGGGUUGCUCCAGGAGGACAGGCAAGGCACUGUGAUACCUUCUUCAGACAUUCUUCCAGGAGGAAGCAGGAAGCAGGUUUCUCCAGGGCAUUCCCCAGUAUGCAGUGGUCAUUAAUUCAGGCAAAUCAGAGGAUGAAGUCCAGGAUGCUGCACAGAGACUAAGAGAGAAAGGUGUGAAAGUUAUGUCUGUGGGUGUGCAGGACUUUGACAGGAGAGAACUGGAAGGGACGGGAUCCCCAGACCUUGUCUAUGAUGUGCAGAGAGAAGAUGAAGUCAGACACAUAGUAGAAGAUAUGAAUGUGGUGAUCCAAGGGACUAGACAGCAGGAACACAGGAUUACAGCCAACGAGGAGGCUGUAGGAGCGUGCGCAACUGCUGUCCCGGCUGACUUAAUAUUCCUCAUUGAGGAAUUUAGCAGGGUUAGGCAACCCAAUUUCCAACAAGUUGUCAAUUUCCUAAAGACCAUUGUCAGUUCUCUAAACAUUCGUCCUGAUACUGUGAGACUUGGCUUGGUCUUCUACAGUGAGGAACCACGACUUGAAUUUUCACUGGAUGCAUUUCAGAAUCCAGCCAAAAUCUUGGAGCAUUUGGACAAAUUAACCUACCGGGAAAGAAAAGGAAGGACGAAGACUGGUGCUGCAUUAGAUUUCCUGAGGAACGAGGUUUU
ensembl:lncRNA COL6A4P1 collagen type VI alpha 4 pseudogene 1